UAGGGAGACGCCAAGAUCCCGGACGCGCAGAUGGGUCAUGAGAAGACCAUGAGCGGUCUGAUGCCAGCGCUUGCAGGCGCCAACACCAUAUAUGGUGCAG
rfam:Euryarchaeota archaeon 55_53 PW_scaffold_188, whole genome shotgun sequence.